AGUGAACGCUGGCGGUAGGCCUAACACAUGCAAGUCGAACGGCAGCACAGUAAGAGCUUGCUCUUACGGGUGGCGAGUGGCGGACGGGUGAGGAAUACAUCGGAAUCUACUUUUUCGUGGGGGAUAACGUAGGGAAACUUACGCUAAUACCGCAUACGACCUACGGGUGAAAGCAGGGGAUCUUCGGACCUUGCGCGAUUGAAUGAGCCGAUGUCGGAUUAGCUAGUUGGCGGGGUAAAGGCCCACCAAGGCGACGAUCCGUAGCUGGUCUGAGAGGAUGAUCAGCCACACUGGAACUGAGACACGGUCCAGACUCCUACGGGAGGCAGCAGUGGGGAAUAUUGGACAAUGGGCGAAAGCCUGACCCAGCCAUACCGCGUGGGUGAUGAAGGCCUUCGGAUCGUAAAGCCCUUUUAUUGGGAAAGAAAAGCAGCAGGUUAAUACCCCGCUGUUCUGACGGUACCCAAAGAGAAAGCCCCGGCUAACUUCGUG
rnacentral:rRNA from 1 species